rnacentral:rRNA from 1 species
GUAGUCUUGGCCAUAAACGAUGUUCACUAGGUGUUGGGGGUUUCCCUCGGUGCCGCAGCUAACGCAUUAAGUGAACCGCCUGGGGACUACGGCCGCAAGGUUGAAACUCAAAGGAAUUGGCGGGGGCCCGCACAAGCGGUGGAGCAUAUGGCUUAAUUCGAUGCAACGCGAAGAACCUUACCAGGGCUUGACAUGGAGCUGCAAGCCGCCGAAAAGCGGUCGCUUUCGAAGGUGCUUCACAGGUGGUGCAUGGCUGUCGUCAGCUCGUGUUGUGAAAUGUUGGGUUAAG